GACGUCGGUGCGUCAAAUAGCGUGCCGUCUGCGUAGGAAGCAAACGGCCCUGUGACUGGUCCAGCACAGAACAUGGCGCAGGCAAGCUUCAUACUGAAUCUGUAUGCACUGGAAAUGAAUGUUUUUCUGCAACAUUGGACCUGUGUGGGAAUGAAUCUCAUUUUACUCUGAUAGCUGGAAUCUAGUAUAUAUUGGAAAGUGAAAGCACUACUGAAUCAGUGGUAGGUAACAGGGUCGUGGAGACAGCUUCUGUCUGGAGACAGCCCCUUCUGCACAGAAGAAGGUAGAUCUGCUUGUGGAGGACUCAUCAGGUGGAUGCACAA